rnacentral:lncRNA from 1 species
CUCCCAAAAUCAAACCCAACCUUCCUUUUAUGGUCAUAAACCUUGUGUUUAAAUUUCAUAGAUUUCUAUUUACUUAUACUAAAGUUAUGGUGCAAAAAACAAAAAUAAUGCUUAUUUGGGCCCCUUUUUGGCCCCUAAUUCAUAAACUGUUGUGACCUCAACUCCAAAAAUCAAUCCCAACCUUCCUUUUGUGGUCAUAAACCUUGUGUUAAAAUUUAAUUGAUUUCUAUUUUCUUAUAUUAAAGUUAUUGUGCAAAAACCAAGAAUAAUGCUUAUUUGGGCCCUUUUUUGGCCCUUUAUUCCUAAACUGUUGGAACCAAAACUCCCAAAAUCAAUCCCAACCUUCCUUUUGUGGUCAUAAACCCUGUGUCAAAAUUUCAUAGAUUUCUAUUCACUUAAACUAAAGUUAUAGUGCGAAAACCAAGAAAAUGCUUAUUUGGGCCCUUUUUGGCCCCUAAUUCCUAAAAUGUUGGGACCAAAACUCCCAAAAUCAAUCCCAACCUUCUUUUUGUGGUCAUAAACCUUGUGUUAAAAUUUCAUAGAUUUCCAUUCACUUUUACUAAAGUUAGAGUGCGAAAACUAAAAGUAUUCGGACGCCGGACGACGACGCAGACGCCAACGUGAUAGCAAUAUACGACGAAAAUUUUUUCAAAUUUUGCGGUCGUAUAAAAACACUU